rnacentral:rRNA from 1 species
UACAGAGGUCUCAAGCGUUGUUCGGAAUCACUGGGCGUAAAGGGUGCGUAGGCCGCAGGGUAAGUCAGAGGUGAAAUCCCGGAGCUCAACUUCGGAAUUGCCUCCGAUACUGCCGUGCUUGAGGACUGGAGAGGAGAUUGGAAUUCACAGUGGAGCAGUGAAAUGCGUAGAUAUUGUGAGGAACACUAGUGGCGAAGGCGAAUCUCUGGACAGUUCCUGACGCUGAGGCACGAAGGCCAGGGGAGCAAACGGG